CGGAAACAUCUUCUUAGAUGUAUGCAAGACAAAUGAAGAGAGAACACUACUGCCAUGUGAAGAUAGUUACUGCUGAAAUGACUGUCAGAAUUGGUAUAGGAAGAUGUCUGAAAAUCCAGCAAUCAUUGUCUUCACAGCCAGGACCCGGUAUCUACAUAAUCCCAUCAUUCAUCUUCUCAGACCCUCAUUGUCUUCAGCAAUCCAUUGACAAAAACCCAGGGUGGACACAACCCCCUGGAGAACUCUCCGUCCCUGAGACCACCUCCAU
rnacentral:lncRNA from 11 species